rfam:Amborella trichopoda AMTR_V1.0_contig_44049, whole genome shotgun sequence.
GAAACUGGUGCUAAAAUAGAAGUCCAUUGCAUUGCGUUUUGAAUGGAAUGCAAUUGUAAUGGAAGCGGCCAGACAACCGUAGGGUUGGAUCCACAGAUAAAGGGCUCAAAAUGCCCCUUGUCUACUGAUUCCAACCCACACCU